UGACUNGAGUGCAGAAGGGGAGAGUGGAAUNCCAUGUGUAGCGGUGAAAUGCGUAGAUAUAUGGAGGAACACCAGUGGCGAAAGCGGCUCUCUGGUCUGUCACUGACGCUGAGGCUCGAAAGCGUGGGUAGCGAACAGGAUUAGAUACCCUGGUAGUNCACGCCGUAAACGAUGAGUGCUAGGUGUUAGGCCCUUUCCGGGGCUUAGUGCCGGAGCUAACGCAAUAAGCACUCCGCCUGGGGAGUACGACCGCAAGGUUGAAACUCAAAGGAAUUGACGGGGGCCCGCACAAGCGGUGGAGCAUGUGGUUUAAUUCGAAGCAACGCGAAGAACCUUACCAGGUCUUGACAUCCCGAUGCUAUUCUUAGAGAUAGGAAGUUACUUCGGUACAUCGGAGACAGGUGGUGCAAGGUUGUCGUCAGCUCGUGUCGUGAGAUGUUGGGUUAAGUCCCGCAACGAGCGCAACCCUUAUUGUUAGUUGCCAUCAUUAAGUUGGGCACUCUAGCGAGACUGCCGGUAAUAAACCGGAGGAAGGUGGGGAUGACGUCAAAUCAUCAUGCCCCUUAUGACCUGGGCUACACACGUGCUACAAUGGUCGGUACAACGAGUUGCGAGCCGGUGACGGCAAGCUAAUCUCUGAAAGCCGAUCUCAGUUCGGAUUGGAGGCUGCAACUCGCCUCCAUGAAGUCGGAAUCGCUAGUAAUCGCGGAUCAGCACGCCGCGGUGAAUACGUUCCCGGGCCUUGUACACACCGCCCGUCACACCACGAGAGUUUGUAACACCCGAAGUCGGUGAGGUAACCUUUUAGGGGCC
rnacentral:rRNA from 1 species